UACGGGGGGGGCAAGCGUUGUUCGGAAUUACUGGGCGUAAAGGGCUCGUAGGUGGCCAACUAAGUCAGACGUGAAAUCCCUCGGCUUAACCGGGGAACUGCGUCUGAUACUGGAUGGCUUGAGUUUGGGAGAGGGAUGCGGAAUUCCAGGUGUAGCGGUGAAAUGCGUAGAUAUCUGGAAGAACACCAAAGGCGAAGGCAGCGUCCUGGCAAGUCACUGACGCUCAGGUGCGAAAGCUAGGGGAGCGAACGGG
rnacentral:rRNA from 1 species